UCUUAGUUAGUCCGGACUACAAGGUCAACAUGCUAACCUUGUAGUCCCAACCAAUAAGAAGACAGAUCACCAAAAUUGAUGACAUAAACUUAUUUGCCACAUUACCCCACUACAGCUUAUUAUUCUCUAACAUCCGUUUAACCCGUUGAAAGCAGAUUCAAAACAGCAAAUUCAAAUUUAAGAUGUGAAUGGGUGGGUAUUGAAAAUUUUGUAUCUGAAAUCCUUUCCAAAAUUUGUUUUACGUAUCUUGGGUCAUUUCCCCAAUGCCAAACAAAAUGCUUUUUCUGCUGAACCUAGGUCAUUGUCUCCAACUUCACUCGACACUGCCCCACUCAGCACUCUCCUUCACAUUUCCCCCUUGUAAUCCCUUGCUUCCUGAUCUGGAUAUUCAAAUACUUUGAUGAGCAAUCCAAACUUUAAAAUCUAAGAGGUAGUUGUUCCUCUAACAAAGGAUAAGAAUGCUUGCUCCAAAAUUCAAGCAAUCGCAUAUCCUUUCAAGCAAUGAAUAGGACAAACUUGGAGCAGAGGGAGCCUCGACUUGCCAAGGAUGAAGAUGAGGAUCAACAAGUUGAAUGUGAAGGAGCUGUCAUUAUUGGCUUGGAUGACAAGAUGAGAUGGAUAAGUGAUGAAGUUCCAAGAUUGAAGUCUGGCUGGUCUCCUUAAACAAUAGGAUUCAUUAGUUAGAGAUAGAAAUUAUUAAUAACUUAUUUCCCAGAUUUUUGGAAGUGUAGAGGAUGGGAUUAGGUUGUUUGCUAGUUAGUUGUUAUCAAGUUUAUGUUAAUAGUUGGUGCUUAUCAUAAGUUGUAUAGCACAUAUGUUGUGCACAAAGGAAACAAAUUAAUAAAGAUGGAAGCAGAAAAUUAACACUCAAACUCAUGAGUGACUGGGGUCA